GCGUCAACCUGGGAUACUUGGUCGAUAGAGAAAGAUCUCUGUCAGGCAACUAUCCUCCAAAUAGCUGUUUGAAUAUUUUCCAAUAACAAUAUUUUUUUUCUAAUAUAUAGGAUCACUAAAUAUAACACCUAGUGACUUUGUUUAUUUGCCUCAACAGUAUAGUAACUUUGAUUCCAAUCAAUUUCCAGUAGAGGAUGGAACAGAGUUUUUUUUUUCACUGAACCUCCAAGGCCCAAUUCCAGAGAAAUAUAAACCCAUCAACCAUCUCUAAGACUCGGACUAAUGCCAACUACCCUUAAGUGCUGUUAUCAUUACAUCAAAAUACAAAGGACACUGGGAGAAGCUCAUGAUCCAAAAGUUUUCUAUGCGCAGAUAUAAGCUAUGUUGCCUAGAGACCCACAAGAGUAGCGGUACCUUUAUCCAGCCUGGGGACUAGGUUUAUAUGAAGAUGUAUCAAUAGAAAGUCUGCUUGAAACCUCCGUGGAAGAACCCAUAUCAAGUUCUACUUACUGCAAUAAAGACCCUCACAUUUGGAUCUAUAUUUCAUAUUGUAAGACAACAACCACGCCACAAGACUUUGGAUGAGCACUACCUGCUUCAUCAGAAACAUUCCCAUCAAUGAAUGGUGAGCCAAGUGCCAGUCAGCAGGGUAAUAUACAUACAGAGGUGAUGCAACUGCCCACCAGAUUUGCCACAGAAUUCCUGCUAUGCCUUCCAGCCAAGAAGCCACGUCUGCAUCUAGCAUUUGGCUCCCAAAAUGGACAUGGCUUAUCAUUCUGUGGCUGUUUUUUAGUGGACUCCUCUUGAUUAUUUUUUGUUAUUCAUCAGAAUUAGAAGAUAAAAAAUCUCAGAACCAGACCAACUUGCUGUUCCAGGCAAAAAGGUCAUCAUCCGUCCUAAGGGCAUAUAACAAGCCUUCCUAUACACAUCACACAAGCUUCCUAAAGACUAAAAACUAGAAGUUUCUAAAUACUAGGCACAUACUCUUAUUCCUGACAACAUGGGAGAAGGUUUCACAUUGAUAGCUAUUCUACAGAUAAUCACAGACACAAGUGUUUUUGCUUGCUAUAAGAAUUAACUAUGAACAGACAUGUUUAAAUUUCUGCUUUAAUUUUUUUUAAAUGCAUGUUUAAAUUCCUCUGAGUGAGAGAAUAGAAGGUUUAAAGAUGAGUAUUAUUCUAUAUCAUCAAAUAAUGCCAUCAAUGGCCCUUAUCUGCAGCUGUCUCUAACUGAACAGACUAUUGGAUUUAGCAUAUUGUCUAAAAGAGGGUCAAUUUUACUAGGUCACAAAGGUAGCCAGUUGGCAUGGUGAACAGAGCACUGGAUUAA